GGUGGUAGAGCUCAGUGGCAAAGCACACGCUUAGCAUGCAUGAGGUCCUGGGUUCAAUCCCCAGUCCCUCUG
rnacentral:tRNA from 1 species